AUGUCAUCACUAUACAAAAGGAACGUCUCUCGGAUUAACAUUCGAAAUAACCAUUAUUUGUAAAUGCUGUAUAAACUUGCAAUAUCGCUAUUCUUUAUUUGCUUUUCCGCUUUUAGGGUUCUCAUAAUAUUACACUUUCCCACUAUAGGGACAUUAUAAGCCUCGUGCGGCGAUCGGUUGGAAACAGUGUCGGUAUCAGAUGAAGAGAGGUCCUACUAUUCCGCUUACGGGGCCCCCAAGCCCCCCCCCCCCUCCACACGACUAGAGGAAAAUAAAAGUGUGUUUUAAACACAAUUUAGCAAAGCCGAGGAUGGUGACGGUUGCUUAAGACUAUUGUGCGUGUUAUCAUGGGUUUGGCAUUAGAAUGGUUCAAAUCUUACCUCAGUCGAAGAACACAAUCCGUAAAAAUCAAUAAUCAAAAAUCAAAUCCUGCGAAUUUAUGUUACGGUGUUCCACAAGGUUUUGUACUCGGUCCUCUCCUUUUCACAGCCUAUACUUCACCUCUUGGAGACUUGGCGAUCGGUAUUAACGAUCGGAAGUAAGUUUAGGAGAUCGCAAAUAAACGAACCUCCAAUCAAUAUCGGUGAUAUUGCUCUAUAGGGGAGAAAUGAUGUUCGUGAUCUUGGUGUGCAGUUAGAUUGUAACUUUGAUUUUAAACACCAUGUUUCAAUGAUAUGUAAAUCAACUAAUUACCAUCUUUUUAACAUCGGCGUAUUAGAAACUUUAUUGAUCUAAAAACAGCAAAAUUGUUAGUCAAUUCACUUGUAACAUCUCGUCUUGAUUACUGCAAUUCCAUUCUGUUUAAUCUCCCCUCAUAGCAAAUAAAUCAGCUACAGAAGAUCCAAAAUAAGGCAGCCCGUAUUGUAACAAGAACCAAACAACGUGAUCAUUUUACUCCAGUAUUAAAGAAUCUACAUUGGUUACCUAUUGAAUCGCGUAUCAACUUUAAAAUCCUCUCCUUAACGUACCUGACUCUCCAUUCUGAAGACUCUCCACACUAUCUUCAAUACACUAUCGUCGAUACACUCCAACUAGAACUUUAAGAUCCCAGAAUCACUGGUACAACCGAAAACCAAAUCGUCCUACGGUCAGAGAUCUUUUGCUUACGCUGCACCAAUGUUGUGGAAUUCUCUACCCGAACACAUAAAAAACUCGCAAUCCCUGGUAACUUUUAGAAAAUUGUUAAAAACAGAACUUUUUAAGCAAAGUUUCAUGUAGUGAUUGUGAUGACUUUUAAAAAUUAACUUUUAAGCAAAGUUUUAUGGAGUGUCUGUGAUGACUUUUAAAAUUUGCCCUUGUUAACAAAGUUUUAUGUCUUUUAAUAGUCGAACUUUUUAGCUUGCGCUGUCAUUUGAAUAACUUCAUAUUUCUUAAAUUUUCCGUGAUUAUAUAUAUUAUUCAUUUUUAUUUAUUCUGCAUCUAACAUUUUUACAAAAUGUAAUAGCUCCGCGGAGCAGUAAUUUUUACUGGAAUGAAAUGAAAUGAAAUGGAGUUUAACGUCCUACUGUUCUGCUCCUAACCUGGGCUAAUGAAGACGGGCAUACGCCAUACAGUGUGCUAUGAGGGAAAUUUUGCCCGGACAGCGGCACUACGGCCUACUCUUAUAUCGAAUUCCAACUGCCAAGGGAUCUUUUACGAGCACGCCAAUGUGUACACGGGACCUCGGUUUUUCGUCCCAUCCGAACGACUAGACAGCUUUCCUUGUCAGCCCCUCCGUCCUGCAUCACUGACAAGGGAGAACCACGCCGGAAAAUCUGGAUGAACUUUCUCGGCCAAUGCAGGGAUCGAACACCCGACCUCCAGGCUAGCGAGCUAGCGUCUUACCCACUUAGCCACGUGAUCCCCCUUUUACUGGAAUGCAGGCACUUUAUAAAUUAAUUAUAUUAUUAUUAUUAUUAUUAAAAAUGCAGGCACUUUAUAAAUUAAUUAUAUUAUUAUUAUUAUUAAAAAGUCUGAAUAGGCUAAUCGAGCAAUAGAGCAAGUUCACCUUGAUGUUGACAAAUACGUAAGACGAUAUGGUUUAUUCCCGCGAAGGCGCAGUUAUUGACCGUAACGGAUUAAAAAGGGUCGUUUUCGACGACUUCGCGGGAAUCCAGCCCUAAGGAUUAAAAUGGAUUAAAAACGUAACAAUGGUGUUAUAGAUUGUUAUGAGAAGAAUUUGCACUUUCAUAAUCCCCACUGUAAAUAAUUAACCAACAUUUUUGCAUCAGAUAAGAAAUAAAAAACAUAACUAUACUAUAAUAUAACAAAAAUUAAUUUAAUUUCGUCAAAUAUAUAAAAAAACAUAACUAUACUAUAAUAUAACAAAAAUUAAUUUAAUUUCGUCAAAUAAAUAAAAAACAUAACUAUACUAUAACAAAUAUUAAUUUAACUUCGGCAAUAAAACAACUAUAAUAUAACAAAAAUUAGUUCAAUUUCGCCAAAUACGACACCCUGUCUAAAUACUCGACUAAUAUCUUGCUGGUGUCUUCGUUUCAAUUCCUCGAGCUGGCUUUGAAUUUGAGCAUAUUUAUAUCUUUUCUUUGGUGGUUUCUGUCCCCCAGCAUAUUGGACGAUUCUUAUCUCAUUAAUGUUUUGUUCUUGUAGCAAAAAUGUGAUCAAUUCAAAAACAUUAGGGUGGACUUUUCCAACUAGCUUCUUGACCCUUGAAUGCCAUCCUUCCAGAGUGUUGUUGGUUCUGUGCUCCUCUGUCUCGUAGUGGUUCCACUGGUGAGUUGAAAAUUCUCCCUCGAACCAUUUAUUUGUAACAUAAUCGGCCAAUUCUGUUAGUUUUGGAUUGGCUGGCAUUUCUGCUACAAUGUGAAGGUAUGCAUCAUCAACCUGCAUUUAAAAUAGAAUUGGUAAAUAAAUUUGAUAACAAAUACGAAUGUGGCGACCACAGUGAUCAAAACGUUCCACGUCUACUCAAAUAAGAGAAAUCGAGGGCUUAUGCAGCAAGACAUAAUAAAACUACUUGGGUGAUUUGAUGAUAUUCAUCAUUAAUUGUCAAUUGGUGAAUAAAAUUCAGAGUGAACAUAAAUUCAUAAAAUCUUUAACACCGUUAAUUGGGUCCUAAUAACAACAUGUCUCUCUUCAAACGAAAGCCGACCCGUCGAUAUCUGCGCCUUCGCGGGAAGGAUUAAUUUUGGUCACGCUCUGUAACUGCACCUUCGCGGGAAUACACCGACGAUAUGAACAUCAACUAAAAAGAUAUAUAAUGUGAUUCGGCUGUAAUGUGAUAUAUGCGUAUAUGCAGCAUAGACAAUUAAAAUCUCUAUUCAAGUUAAUCCAACUGUAUAUUUAAGUCUUACGUCGAGGUGAAUACAUUUUGUGAUUUAUUGUCAUUACAACAUCUAUUGGUGGCUAACAGUAUGUAACUAAAAACUAAAAUUGGAUCUUAUUAUUGCCAAUAAUAUAAUGUACCUUGAAUUUUUUAUCACGAAGUCUAUCGCAUCCAGAUAUUUAAUGCGCGUUUAGAAUAUAUUCAUUUUUUGUUAUUUCAGGAUGGAUAUAUCGUAAAAUUCAUCUUCAUUUGCCGAACUACACCCAAACUACAGUGUAAACACGGUUUGGAGACUAUAUUUGAACUACAGGGUACACCGAACUACAGUGCACAUCAUGCUUUAGAGACACUAUCUAAUAUCCAACAGGAAAAAUGACGAUUAAUUUAAUAUCCGCCAAUUUGUGUUGCUGCUAUUUUGUAUUUUCAAAAUUUAUCUUCAAAUUCAGAGACAUCGAAAACCAUAUAAAAGACAUAGCAAAAGUCAUAUCUUACGUAUCUUAAGACAUGCCCUUUUAUUAUACCAAAUUUAUGGGUUUUUUUGUUAAAUGGCCUUAUAUUACCAAAUUCGGCAGCCAUUUUAAAAGAAAUGCCCGGCACCACAUGAAAAAUACAUUUCUUUAAUUGAUGUUACUCAAAUUCGAUUUCCGCACAUUUCGCGUACAUAACCACGAUAUAAUGGCCGAACAUUACGUACAUCAGAUAAACUACUUUUAAAGCCCAAAACUGUUCAACUAGUCUCUUAUGGUCAGCAUCCCUUUAGUUAUCAAGCACCUGUUUUAUGGAUUAAUCAGCCAUUUAAUUUAAGAUGCUGUACAUCUCUAUAUCCUUUUAAAAAAACAACUUAAAACACAUUUAUUUAAUGAGGCUUUUAACUGACUCUGUAUACAAUUGUUAAGAAGUCCAUAAUCGUGUUGUUUAUUUAUGAUUACAUUGUCACUUUGUAAAGUGCCCCUGAACAUGUUUUAUGAAAGGGCGCGCUAUAAAUAUGCUGUAAUAAUAAUAAUGAUAAUAAUAAUAAUAAUAAUAUUACCAAAUUUGGCGGCCAUCAUGAAAGAAACGCCCGGCACCAUAUAAAAAAUACCUUUUUUUUUAAAUUGAUGUUUGUCAAAUUCGAUUUUUCGGCACAUUUCGCUUGCAUAACCAUUCUGUGUUUGAGGAAUUUAAAAAGAAAUCAUUUAUAAUCCAACGAGUAAAUAGUGAAACACACUGAUUACGAGAUAUCGCUCUCAGAAAAUUCCCCGAUUUUGAGUAUGAUUUUGUUUGAUAUAUUUAUCACUGAACCAAACUGCAUUGGUUUCUUUUGCAUUUUUUUUAGGGUAAAACGUUUUCCCUCAGCGCCUAAUACUGCGCAAGAAAAAAAAAUUUUGGUAUGUAAACCUGUAUGAAGCCAUGACGUCAUAGAUUUUAUGGCGUCAUAAUUGGGACCCAAAAUGGCGCCUGGAAAUGAGUUGUCGUAAUUUCCCUUAUAUAGGGCUUUGGGUAAAACUAUGGGGGAAGUAACCCUCAUCGUUUAAAGAAAGGAAAAAGCAAAGGAUCCCCUUCAAGAGUCAGGGUUAGGUAUUAUCCAGAAGGUAGCCUAAAUGAAAGAAGUCCAAAUUAUUCUAAAUGCGUAUUUAUUAAGAACAAAUUACAAUUAUUAUAUAAUAUAUUAAUUAAUACCGGACACUGAACAGGUGUUUAUAAAUAUGUAGGUUCAGGAGUUUUAUUGAGAAUCAAAUUGCUAAGUAUAAGUUCAAUGAUAAUAAACAUAUCAGAGUGAAACAUGUCAGACAAAGAACGAAUAGUAAUAAGUUAGCGUGCACGUAAAAUAACCACAGAAUUAAAUGAAAAGUUGACCGAACCGCCGCUGUCCGACACACUUUAUAGCAAACACUCUGUUAAAGGCGUUUGUAUUCAUAUUGCAUAUGAUAUAUUAAUGGUAAUUAUGUAAUUGAUUAUAUGUUUCAGUACGCUGCUAAUGCUGUUGACAAUAUACACACCAUGCUCAACUCUUCACUGGAGACACCUUUUGUGAAUGAUUUAGUUUUCGCCAGCUGGGAAUUGCCUAAUAUAAACUCUACUACUGUGACAUCGGCCGAGAUGGAGGCAGACCACCAUUAAAUUUCAUCAUCUCGUUCUAAAUGCCCAGGCCAGUCAAUUACAGAGUUAAAGAACAGGUUGCAGGAAAGAGGGAUUCCCACAUUAUGUUAUGAUUCCCCUAGAAGAGUGCAGUUGCUACUGUGUGGUGAUUAUCCAGACAACGAAGAAUGUUUGUCUCUUGUUUCCAGUUCAUCCCCAACACACAUAACCCAUCUUCAGUAUUCUUUUUAUAUUCAUGGGUUUUAUAUCUCUACAUGUAUUUUUAGGUAUUUUAUUAUUCUAAUAUUUCAUAA